UCUAAUUUGAAAUGUCUACCUUUUAAGUUUAAAAAAACAAAUCUACUACGGCCUCGGGCUUAUUGGGUGUUCUGUUUUUUGCCUUUUUAAACCAUUAUCGUGUCUAGUUUCUACUAUACAACAAACAAAAAUGUUCAACAUGUUUCCAAAGUACUCUCCACAUAAUAUACCAAUCAAAACUUUGAGCAUAAUGUAUGAACAUUUUCGAAACUUAUACGGGUUUUUCCAAGAGCAAACCUUAUGCGAUGUUACGUUGUUAUGUGAUGAUGGCGUUCAAAUUUCAGCGCAUAAAGCAAUUUUAGCAUCCGCAAGCCCUAUGCUAUUAAAAAUGUUCGAUAGUGGCUUUAAUGAAACUAAAGAAAUUACUAUGCCUAUUAAAGACAUCGAGUCUGGUAUUUUAAAGUCAAUUGUAACUUGUACAUAUACAUUUCAGAUGGAUAUCCAGGAAAAU